AAAUAAAGGAAGCAAGGUAACGAGCACAGAAAUUGAAUUGGGUCAUUAAGACUGCCCCCUCUAAUGUCUUCCUCCUUUAAUUUGGGGGCAUGGUUCCAGGGCAUAACA